rnacentral:tRNA from 1 species
UCUUAGUGGCUCAGACGGUAAAGCAUCUGUCUGCAGUGCAGGAGACCCAGGUUCGAUCCCUGGGUUGGGAA